AAUUUCUUUAAAAAAUAAAAACAGAGCUACCAUGUGACCCUGCGGUCCCACUCCUGGGCACAUAUACAGAGAAAAACAUGG